UUGGAGGGCAAGUCUGGUGCCAGCAGCCGCGGUAAUUCCAGCUCCAAUAGCGUAUAUUAAAGUUGUUGCAGUUAAAAAGCUCGUAGUUGAAUUUCGGGAUCAAUAUAUCGGUCGUGCCAUCGGUACGUACUGGUAUGAUUGGUUUCUCCUUUCUGACGAACCAUGAUGUCAUUAAUUUGGUGUUAUGGGAAGUUAGGACUGUUACUUUGAAAAAAUUAGAGUGUUUAAAGCAGGCUUUAGCUUGAAUACAUUAGCAUGGAAUAAUGAAAUAGGACGUUCGAACCUAUUUUGUUGGUUUCUAGGAUCAACGUAAUGAUUAAUAGGGAUAGUUGGG
rnacentral:sRNA from 1 species